ACUCUAACCCGUGGCGCUAUGCUAUGCAUUAUGUGAAAUCUAGAGGUCUACCUGAAGUGACUUCAUUGAUUAAUAUCGACCACAAUUUACAAAGAGUCCCAACAGUUGUUGCUUUUGUGGAGUCUAUGACCCCAACUGGACAGGGAAAUUAUACUAUUAAUUUAAAGGACCCAACUGCAACGAUUGGUGCAAGCUUACAUUACAAAGUUAAGCAACACCAAC